rnacentral:rRNA from 1 species
GACUAUGGCUAUAGCACCCUAACACACCCAAUCUCAUCUCAUCUUGGAAGCUAAGCAGGGUAGAGCCCGGUUAGUACUCAAGAGAAAAGGUAACCUUAAAUU